GCAGCGUAAUGUGCACAUUGAGCCCGUUGGAAAAAAACGAGCCAAAUGGAAUUUAAAUAAUUGAACCGAUGUUGGUCAAUUACUUGUUUAAAAAACGAAAAAUAGCUGACAUUUCAGUUAAUCACUCAUCACUACAGAAUAUGUAUUUUGUCACUCAGUCUUAUGUACUUUUGUUGUUGUUCAUCGUUCACUCUGUGUUUCACAGGUGUGCUAGUCUAUGAGCUGGAUGAGGUCAAUGUGUUUGCAGAACCGUCUGUGAUGUCAGCAUCUCGGCUUCCAUACCUGCUUUAGCUCGCUGAAAGUACCCAGCAUCGUCAGUGGUGGCAGAGCGCGUGGGUGUGUGCGCCAGGGAGAAUGUUACAGACCUGCUGGAGAACCUUGGGGUCUGCAAAGACCUCCAGCCAGGUGAGACACAGGACCCGGCCUGGUUGGCUCUUCUCAUGGAUUCUGGUUUCCAUGGUGGCCUGUUGGCCAGGCUAGUAUUCCUCCUGUGGCUGCUGGAAAUGUCUGAUCUACGGCCCCUCUGUGAUCCUAAGAGUUUAUGUAAGAACAUCCAGGAAAUUACCUGUAUGUCCAGCCAGAACGGUGUCCAGUUGCCUGCUGCCUUUACUGCAGCUAUGACUGGAGACCUGCCUGGAUGAUACAGUAGUCUGGUUCACACAAUUUAUUUCCUUAGGACCUCCUCUUUGAUGAUCUAAGUCCAGAAUAAAUACAUCCAUGGAUGCUGUAUGAAUGCCUACAGAAGUUACAAACUAUGUGGACUUUGAAUGGACACUCUGCAGCUGCUUAAUUCCUAUGUUCCUAUCCUACACUACAGUACAAUGCAGUAGCAUUUGGCAGGAAGGCUCUCAGAUGAGUAAUGUACGAGAGCUGACUGACUACAGCCAGAUGAAUGGCAAUGAUCAGAUUACUUACUGCUGCUGAUGAGGCCUGCUAAGUAUUGAACAGCUAUAACCUAUGGAGAGUCUCUCCUUACACCUACAAUGCCUGAGCUGAGUGUAUAUACUGACUCAUCCAAAGAGCCUCAUUUCAGUUGAUGCCAUUGCUUGUUUUAUUAACAUUGUGUUUCCAUGCAAGUGCAUGUCUGUGUAAUAAUAAUGCAACCAUGAUGCAAGUAAUAUUUUGCAUGGUUUUAAAAGUUAUGUUUUUAAUGUCAUAGAUUAAAUAAUCUAUUCAAGUGGGAUUGUCCUCUCUUUCCUAUAGCCUUUUAUGUUUAGAUGUGUUUUAUCUGUAGCCCAACGUUAAAUCCCUCUGUUGUACUUGACUAGACCAUGAACAAAGCCCCUCUGUGAGGAUAUGCAUACAGCUCUGACUCCCUAGACCGGUUCCAACUGCCUCUGACCACUCCUGGUGUAACUGUCAUACCCCCCAGCAGCCACAGCAAGGCACCCUUCAUUUCAGUCUACAGUAAACUACAUUGCCUUUUCUUU